CGGGAUUUUUGUUCCACAAGCGGCUCCGCGUUUCGCUGUCAUUGGUGGCUUUCGGUUCUCUUUGGUUUCUGUUCGGGAUCUCGUGUGUGUCUAGAACAUGAGAUGUGGAUAAUUUGAAGCAGUUGGUGGAUUCCACGUGCCUUCAGACUUCCAAGCUCCUUGAAUUAGCCAAAUCUGCCCAGCUGGUGUAAUUUGUGCUUUUCUUCAGAGCUUUGCUCUGUUCCAGCCUCGAAGUAGGUUUGUGAUGGAAAAGAAUAAAACAACUCAGAUCUGAUUCUUCAUCAGGAGAUGUGAUCAGUGUGGGAAAUCAGUGAAAUCUGAGCUCCGCAGAAAUCAGAACAACCACUUCAGCUGCGUCUGUGUCUCUUUCCUCCUGUCAUUGAUUGAGGAUCUGUGAACUGACAUAAAUAUACUUGAAACAAAACAACCACAAGGUUCUCACUGGAACCCUCCAGGCCAGUUCCUGCACAAAGAUCCUUUAGCAAUUGCAAUAUGUGUUUAACAAAGGCCUUGCCACAAACCCUGUGUGUGCCACUGGGUGUAUGAUUUAUUCCAUUUCUGCUUGUAGAAAUGCAUGACUGACUUCAUUCAGGAGAACCAGUUGCCCAACCCUGUGUCUGGGUAGCUCUGAAAGCCUCUCUAUAAAGUUUUCAGAGAGGACACAUAAUCAGCAAGAAUAAUAUUGUGGGUCCUUAUUUAGGGCAUAAAAAGGCAAAAUUGUAAAAUAGUGAGGGGGAACAGUAUUUUGAGGGAGAAAUAGAGAAAUUUAGGGGAAAUACUUAAAGCUGUUUCAAGCUGUGUUUUACUCACCAGCAUGACAGCAGGGGCACUCACAGCAUCAUUAUCACACCCUCCCAGCCCAGGGGUUUGUGUCCAGCAGGGAAACUCGGGACAGCCAGCCAGGAAUUGUAACAGCAGAGUCCACCACAGUGAUAUUUAAAAAGGGAUUUUUGCCAGACACUCAGCAGCAGGAGGCAGGUGGGACCAUGGACAGGGAAAGCCGCUGGUUUGGGAAUUUUGGGUGUGGAGAUGCAUUUCCUCUGCUUUUAUAACCCUUAAAAAAUCCUCUGGUUCCAUCCCCUCAAUGAGAGGUGUGAGAGCCAGAGGGCUGCUCUGGAUAGAAAUGCAAAUUCAGGUGAGUUGCUUUUUGUCCCAUGGUGGCUCCUGAGGCUGACAAAACGUUGUGUUCUCAGUGUUUAGGGAUCUUCUUUGUGACUUUUUGAGUAGUUUUUGCCUCUCACACUUGGCUUUCCAAGGAGGCAUCGGGGCAGUAGGGGGAUGCAGGCCAGAGGAUGCAGAUCAAGAGGAUGCUCUGCACAUUUGGCAAAUUACAAGUGGAGACUGAGUGAGUGGUAAUGUCAGGAGAGAGGUUUCAGCUGUGAGGCUGCCUUAGAAAUGGAAAAUGUGCAGAGUUUAUAUUCAUUUUCAGGGAAAAAAAAAGGAAAAAAUAUAGAGAGGUUUUUGCCUUUACCAGAUGGUCUCCAGCAGAAACAACUGGAGAGACUGGUGACUUGUCAAAAUCAAUCUUCCACAUGAUCGGCUGAUAGUCUGGGAGGAGUGGGAAUUUUCUGGUGUUUGGGCUGGAAUGUAGACACAAAUCUUUUGGGACAGGAGGGAGAUCUCCCUGUUCAGCAUCAAGUGUCCCAUUUCUUGGCAGCCUGGGGAAGGGCACCAGACACUGUGGAAAACGAGACCUGAGAAUUGAUGAUCUUUAUUUUUUUAAGUCAGACCUGAGUGCACUUGGAGGAGAUUUGUCACACCCCUGAGUGGCUGAAAUUCAGGAAAGGGCUCAGAUUAUGUGUGGAGAAUAAAAAAUUGGUGGGGAGCAGGACUCAGCUGGGUUUUAGGGACGCAGGAGGUCACGCCCUGCCCUCAGCCCAGGUCAGCACCAGCGUGGCAGUGUCACUUGUGUGCUGCUGUCACUUCCCCUGCUGCAUCCCCCUGCCUCAGGGGACAGGGGAUUUGUGGUUUUCCAAUGCCUGGGAAAGGCUGUGGGAUUAAAUGUAGCCCCCACUCCCUGCUCUCAUCAACUGCGUUGGAAAGAAGAAGGAAGAGCUUUGCGAGAAUCAAACUUUAGGAAACGCAGCCAAGGAAAAAAUCCCAGGUCAGGGGCAAUGCAGACUUUUCUGUUUAAUUACAAAAUACUACUCGUGAAGAAGAUGAAGAAGAACAAGUAGCAACUGCUUUAAAACUUCGAUCUUGUCCCAUAUAUAUUGCUAUAUUAAAAAACUUUAAACUCUAA